rnacentral:SRP_RNA from 2 species
GCUGGGCGUGGUGGCGCGCGCCUGUAAUCCCAGCUACUCGGGAGGCUGAGGCAGGAGAAUCGCUUGAACCUGGGAGGUGGAGGUCGCAGUGAGCCAAGAUCAUGCCACUGCACUCCAGCCUGGGCGACAGAGAGAGACUCUGUCUCAA